GUAUCCGGCCUGCCAUACUUUCCAAGUAUCAAACUACAAGAAAGAAAUACACAAGUUACUGUUGGGCUAAACGUUAUCAAGAGUUAAGAGAGUAAUUGAGGGUAAUAUUGAGAAUUUAUAAGCGAGAUAUUUCUCACUUAUUAUCGUAGAAGAUACAAAAGCUACAUCAAAAUGAUUUUCAGACUUGUGCACACUUGAGUUGAAUCAAAUUGGCCUUGAUACUUAUUUAAAAAGAAUUCUCAGUUCAAAUGACUUAUUAGAACAAACAGCAAAUGACUUAUUAGAACAAACAGCAAACGGAUCAUCUUCUUGACCACCCAAUUGUUUUCUUUAGAGCAUUAUACUAAUACACGCGAGCCUUUGGUGGGAUUGUUUCAAUCUCAUCAUCUAAUGUGUACAUGUGAACAGGCCUGUAGUCAAGCCGAAUCUUCCCAUUCUCCCAAUAUCUGCAGAUUACCAGUAGCUGAUUUCAGAAAACAUACAUCAUUUCCAAUGCAAAUAUUCAGGAGAAGCAGCUGAUAAUGUGUGAUUGAAGAUUACCAGAAAAGAAAAAGGCUAGUCAAUAAACAUAACUCAUCUGAAUUGCUACAGUAA
rnacentral:lncRNA from 1 species